AGCAGCAGUGAGGAAAGCAGCUGCUCCAAGAUACACAGCCCCCUUUUUUUUCUCUCUCUCUUUUGGCUGGUUUUAGCAGCAGAGCGUUCCCAUGUGAUGGACAUGUGAGCAACGGCUCUGCUGGGGGCAUCUCGCUGGGCUGGCGGCCGAAGCUGCUGUCUUCUGUCUGUGUGUCCACAACUUCGCAGCUUUUCCUCCUCCCGUCUGUCAGGUUUUUAGUCUUGUGGUCUCCCUGAAGCAGAUUCGGUCGUUGUGUUGUUAAAGAAUGGUGCCCGGGGGAUGAAUUGUAGCAUGCCCCCUCUCCUGACAAGGAGGGUAUACAGUAAACCCAGUGGUUUUAAUGAUAUAUGUCACUUUCUUAAACUGAAACAACAAAUAAAUACGAUUUUGACUCUGUUUAGAAGCUCCUCUUGGUGGUCUGCCCAGGGGAAAUGGUGGGGUCACACUGAACGUAGUGCCACACUGCUUCCUGGUUCUCCACUUGUUGCAGAGGCUGCCAGAGCUGAGAGCAGCUGCAGGCUUCAGCUGAGGGCUCUCCCUGCUGCCUCCUGAAGCUCCUGGGCUGGAGGAGCUGCGUGUGCCUCUGGAUGUCACUGCUCGAGGCCACAGGAAGACCACAGGAAGACCCCGGUCUGGGAGAGUUCACUUCUCACUGCAAAAUUUCCUCCUCAUCUCAGGCGUUAUGGCAUAGAGUUUCUUCUUGCAGAGGCGCCAGUUUUGCAAACAAGCACUAUCCUCACUGCAGUGAAAUUAAUAGGGCGUCUGGGGCAAAGGUAAAACUGAAAUACAUAAGUAAAUGUUUGCAGGAUCAGGACCUUAUUCAGGCAUAAAUCAGGUAUCACCAGCCAACAAUGGAAUUACCUAAGUAUAAAAUCCCAUGUAAGCCAGUAAGAUCAGCUCCAAACCUGCUAUGAAUUUGCUUUUUGUUUCCAUGCCAAGAAUAUAUCACUUCUAACUGCUGCAAUCAGGUCUGGUCCUUUUUAUUUUCUUUUAAGUGCUUUUGGGCACAUUUAUUUCCCGUCAGCAGCAGAUACGCACCGCCUGACCCUCCUUUCCUUGGGCAUGUCCCAGCCUGCUUCGCCCACGCUGAGCUGUCGCUAUCAGGAGGGGUUUUUCUUUCCUUGUCUAUUCUGUUGCUGCAUUCCGUAAACAAAGGGACACUGGUGACGAUCCCAAACUGUUCUUUUUUAUUUGCCUGGGAACGGAGUCAACUAUUUGUUGGGCUUUUGUUGCCAUUUUUUUUUUUCUUUUCUUUUUAAACUGGUGACCGGUUUAACGUCUCGCCCAUACCUGUGCCAUUGCAGCACUGUGAUGCGGCAGGGCUUGUGAGCAGCUGGCACUGGGCAGGAGGAGGAAGCAGACAAGGCAGAGAGCUGCAGAAUGCAAUGUUUGGAUACCACUGGAGAGGCGCUCGGGCUCUGGUAGCAUUUGUUUCCACCCACCUUCUCCAGUUUGCUCCAUGAAAGCCAUCGGCUGCCUCGCACAGACCCGGAGCUCCUUCUGCAUGGAGCUGUGGGACAGUGAUGGGAGGAGGAGGAGGAGGAGCAGGAGCAGGAGCUGGAGCUGGAGCGAGGCUGCUCUCCAGGAGCCUCAGGAGUCGCUUGGGGCUGAAGAGCGAGGAGAAGCUCGUUUGUUAUGCAAAUAUCUGCUUCGGCCUGGCCUGGCAUAGGCAGUGGAAAGCUCUUGAAUUAUUUUAAGCAGAGGACAAAAGUUCUUUCCCUCCCCCUAUCAUCUUGGAUCCUUAUUAAAACAAAACAAAACAGAAACCUCUGUGUGAACCAUCUGA
ensembl:lncRNA